rnacentral:tRNA from 1 species
GGGAGGUUACGUUAAGUAUAAGACGAUUUGUUUUCAAAACAAAAAGUGUGUGAAUAUACAUCUCCUG